GAUCAAGUAACAUUUUAUAUUUCUUCACUAAUAACUCAUUUUCCGUGAUUUCAUUUAUAUCAACUUCUCUUUACUUGGUAUAACUCUAGUACCAUUGCUUGUGAUGGUGCUCCAGAAAGUUCCCCAAUAUGUUUUUAUUGAUAUAAAAAAUUACCUUUCUUUUAUUUUUGUUAAAUGCAUUGAGUGAGUGAUUUUAUUGAAGUUAAAUUGACCGUUGAAAUUGAACCGAAGAGAGGGGGUGUGCUACUAUAUAUCUAUUAUGUAGAUCGAUAUGGGCAUCUCAAAAUACGUAACAUAGUUGGAGGUUCAUCACACAGUGUGAGGAGCUAUUAUAAAGUUUCUCAGCGGCUUCAAAGGAUAUCAAGCCGCAAAUAAUUCAAAUAUAGCAGUGCAAUGAUGACACAAAUUACUGAUGAAUGUGCUGAUACUUUGGGCGAGCCUCUAGUGAAGAAGAUAAUUAUGAGACGAUAUUGAAGGCUACUAAGGAGAAAUGAUGAAAAGGAAAAAAUAUGUGAGCCUGAAUUGGAUUUGUCUCUUAAAACUCCACUUGAAGAUAAUCCAAUUAAUAAGUUUCCAACCAUGGAAGAAACAAUUGAUUUUAGAAGGAACCUUAAGGGAAGGGUUUUGAGUCAAGUAAGGGAUACAAUGUUCUUGAGUCUCUUUUUGCUCUUCUUUUUUCUACUUUAGAACUAGAGCAAACACACACAAAAAAACUAUAGAAAAGAGAAAAAGAUUUAACUUUUCCUUCUUUUUUUCUUAGAAUGUAUUAUUUCAUUUUGACAUGAGAUCAAACUGUUGAUAUGAAAGUUAACAUUGAAAUUGCAAAUAUUGUCUUGAAUCAAAGUUGAAAUUAUAUAUACUCCUUGUAAUAAGUGUCUUACUUAUAUCUAUUCAUUUCUUUGAAAUUGUACCACAGUAAAAACUUCCAAUUGUGACCUUUAGUAGUGUUGUAAAGUAACAUAAAAAU
rnacentral:lncRNA from 1 species